UAGUAGUUAGUUUAAUUAAAACAAAUGAUUUCGACUCAUUAAAUUAUGCUUAAAUACAUAACUACUAA
rnacentral:tRNA from 1 species